GGCGGUGCGCCUUAUGCAUGCAAGUUGAGCGAAGCUUUUUGGUAGUUUACUACUAGAAAUGACUGAGCGGCGAACGGGUGAGUAACGCGUGAGCAAUCUACCUUAGUUACUGGGAUAGCCCGAGGAAACUCGGAUUAAUACCGGAUAUUCUUAUUUUUUCACAUGAAGUUUUAAGGAAAGGUCAGCCGAACUAAGAUGAGCUCGCGUUCUAUCAGCUAGUUGGUGGGGUAAAAGCCUACCAAGGCUACGACGGAUAGCUGGUCUGAGAGGUCGAUCAGCCACACUGGGACUGAGACACGGCCCAGACUCCUACGGGAGGCUGCAGCAGGGAAUAUUGUGCAAUGAGCGAAAGCUUGACACAGCGACACCGCGUGUGGGAUGACGGUUCUAGGAUUGUAAACCACUUUCAGGAGGGAAGAAAAUGACGGUACCUCCACAAGAAGACCCGGCCAACUAUGUGCCAGCAGCCGCGGUAAUACAUAGGGGUCAAGCGUUGUCCGGAUUUAUUGGGCGUAAAGAGCUCGUAGGCGGUUCAACAAGUCGGUCGUAAAAGUUUAGGGCUCAACCCUAAAAUGUCGAUCGAUACUGUUGUGACUAGGAUACGGUAGAGGUGAAUGGAAUUCCGAGUGUAGCGGUGAAAUGCGUAGAUAUUCGGAGGAACACCAAUUGCGAAGGCAGUUCACUGGACCGUGAUCGACGCUGAGGAGCGAAAGCUAGGGGAGCAAACAGGAUUAGAUACCCUGGUAGUCCUAGCUGUAAACGAUGGAUACUAGAUGUAGGAACUGGAUUGACGGUUUCUGUAUCGUAGCUAACGCGUUAAGUAUCCCGCCU
rnacentral:rRNA from 1 species